rnacentral:snRNA from 1 species
GGAUGUGAGGGCGAUCUGGCUGUGACAUCUGUCACCCCAUUGACCGCCAGGGUUGAUUCGGCUGAUCUGGCUGGCUAGGCGGGUGUCCCCUUCCUCCCUCACUGCUCCAUGUGCCUCCCUCCCAAAGCUGCGCGCUCGGUCGAAGAGGACGACCUUCCCCGAUAGAGGAGAGGACCGCUCUUCGGUCAAGGGUAUACGAGUAGCUGCGCUCCCCUGCUAGAACCUCCAAACAAGAAUAGGGCCCUAAUUCUUUUCAGUUUUCUGAUGACUGACAGAGGUGAGGAAGCUGCAGGAGGCAAGUUUGAAGCU